UACAGAGGGUGCGAGCGUUGUCCGGAAUCACUGGGCGUAAAGCGCACGUAGGUGGACUUUCAAGUCAGGGGUGAAAUCCCGGGGCUCAACCUCGGAACUGCCUUUGAUACUGUUGGUCUUGAGUCCGGAAGAGGUGAGUGGAAUUCCUAGUGUAGAGGUGAAAUUCGUAGAUAUUAGGAAGAACACCGGUGGCGAAGGCGGCUCACUGGUCCGGUACUGACACUGAGGUGCGAAAGCGUGGGGAGCAAACAGG
rnacentral:rRNA from 1 species